rnacentral:rRNA from 1 species
UACGGGGGGGGCAAGCGUUGUUCGGAAUUACUGGGCGUAAAGGGCGCGUAGGCGGUCAUACUAAGUCGGAUGUGAAAUACCAAGGCUUAACCUUGGCAGGUCGUCUGAUACUGGUAGACUAGAGUGUGGAAGGGGUUACUGGAAUUCCUGGUGUAGCGGUGAAAUGCGUAGAUAUCAGGAGGAACACCGGAGGCGAAGGCGGGUAACUGGGCCAACACUGACGCUGAGGCGCGAAAGCUAGGGGAGCAAACAGG